rnacentral:rRNA from 1 species
GACGAACGCUGGCGGGGUGCUUAACACAUGCAAGUCGAACGGAAGGGCCCUGCUUUUGUGGGGUGCUCGAGUGGCGAACGGGUGAGUAACACGUGAGUAACCUGCCCUUGACUUUGGGAUAACUUCAGGAAACUGGGGCUAAUACCGGAUAGGAGCUCCUGCUGCAUGGUGGGGGUUGGAAAGAUUCGGCGGUUGGGGAUGGACUCGCGGCUUAUCAGCUUGUUUGUGGGGUAGUGGCUUACAAAGGCUUUGACGGAUAGCCGGCCUGGGAGGGUGACCGGGCACAUUGGGACUGCGAGAGGGACCAGACUCCUACGGGAGGCAGCAGGGGAGAAUAUUGCACAAUGGCGGGAAGCCUGAUGCAGCAAUGCCGCGUGCGGGAUGACGUCCUUCGGGUUGUAAACAGCUGUCGCCUGUGACGAAGCGUGAGUGACGGUAAUGGGUAAAGAAGCACCGGCUAACUACGUG